rnacentral:misc_RNA from 1 species
CGGCGAACUAAACUGUCCUUGUAACCCGCUAUAAUUAUCCUCUGGUUUCGCAUUUUGCGCGUUAGAAUUUGGAUCCGUCUCGCGUACCUCUCUCUCACUAGCGUUCUGGAAUCUUCUCUUGUCCAAUUCACACAGCGAGAUCGGUCUACCGAAGCUGAUCACCGGCAGCCAUGGAGGACGAUUUCGAGUUCGCCGAUCACCCUCCUCCGUCGUUCCAUAAUAUGGUACGCUUUCAUCGAUUUCAAUUUCUCUAUUCAUUUCAGUUAGUUGAUCUCGCGAGAUCUGCGUUAAAAGAAGUGCAUUUUUAGGAUUUUAGCUCUGAGAUCUUAUUUUCAUUUUCUAUGUGGAUUCAUUCUCGAUAUGGUCUUCAAUUUUUUUUCUUCAUAUUGACAAUUUAACUCUUGUUUGGAUUUGUGAGUGAUGUUGGUAAAUCUGUAUAUUUGUUAUUUUAUAUUUGUAAAGAAAUUAUUGUAUGAAAUUACGUGGAAGCUUAGUGUUUCUGUAUAUUUUGAUUAAUAUUAAUCUUGGUGGGAGAUAAAUUUCACCAGAAGACAACAGAAUUGAUUACAUUUCAAUGAUUUAGUUCAUUUUCUAAUCUCUGAUUCUUAGUUCAUAAUGUAAUUUGUAUUAUUUAGCACACGUAAUUGGUUAAUUGGUAUUUUUUAAGCUUAUUUUGUUUUGUCUGAUUCUUAGUUCACAAUGUCAUUUGUAUUUUUCACCACGCUUAAUUUUGUUAACUGGUGAUUUCUUUUCCCAAUUGUACCAUUAAGAAAAUUCUUUUUGGAGUUGUGUUAUUUGUCGUAAUCCAGGAGAUAGUUUGAUGGACCUUAGCUCCCCAAGAUAACUUGCUUGUAAUCUAUUAUUUUGAGAAUUGAAUUAUUGAAGGCAGCUUCCCUUCUUUUCCAGUUUCCUUUUAUCUUUCGGUUUGAAGGAUUAUCUUUAUAAAUUGUGUCUUGCUUGUGAUUUGGUUACUUCAACAUUUAUUUACGAGAAUGUUUUUCUCUAGAUAUAUGCAACAAGUGCUCUGCUCCAUUGUUGAACCAGCAAAUUGUUAACUUCUUUGUCAAUAAGCAAAUUGUCACAAAUUUACAAUAGAAUGGGAUCGUAAAAAUUUCUCGUUUGGAUAUCUGCACAAGGUUUGUAAAUAUGUUUUGCAUGACACUAAAGCCCUAUUUGGUAUUGAAUUUCAGAGCCUGAAACUGUUUUUCUAUCAUUUUAGAUGCUGUUGAGAAAAAUAUUUUUAAAAAAGCUGUUUUGUUAUUUUAGUAUUUUUAUGACUAAAACUGAUCAAAUUU